CAGUAGCCGCGGUAAUACGGAGGGCGCGAGCGUUACCCGGAUUUACUGGGCGUAAAGGGCGUGUAGGCGGCCUGGGGCGUCCCAUGUGAAAGGCCACGGCUCAACCGUGGAGGAGCGUGGGAUACGCUCAGGCUAGAGGGUGGGAGAGGGUGGUGGAAUUCCCGGAGUAGCGGUGAAAUGCGCAGAUACCGGGAGGAACGCCGAUGGCGAAGGCAGCCACCUGGUCCACUUCUGACGCUGAGGCGCGAAAGCGUGGGGAGCAAACCGGAUUAGAUACCCGAGUAGUCCCUGUCUCUUAUAC
rnacentral:rRNA from 1 species